CGUCUGUGCGGGCCCGGGAGCGGCGGCAGCGGCCGGAGGCCGGGGAGGCGGCAUUGGCGGAGCUGGGAGGCGGCCCCGGCGCAGUGGCAGAUGUGCGAUAGAAGCUCUGCCUCCGCUAUGAAGAAUUGCCAGCCUCGGAAUGGAAGUGGACAGAAUUGGUGAGUCGGAGCUGAUAAGGCUCCCUGAUGUCAGUGGUUGAGAGGCAGCCGCUCGCAGAUGGAACUAGAUGUGUCCUAAAAGGAGAACUACAGAAGAGGAUGUCCUGGAACUGAAAGAUAAUAAAGGCACUGACACGGGAUCCACACCCAUCAUCCUCUGAUCCUCCAGUUCGUGACAGCAUCCAUGACAACGUUUACAUCAAUCCUGAAUUUGAAGAACAUUAUGUAUAAACUCAGAAGCUAAAAGACUGUAUCAAGUUAAAGCGUUUGCACUUAUAGUGAAGUGAAAAUACUUUCAGAGGGGGGAAAAUAAUAGUAAAAGGUUUUAAAAUCAUGGGGAUUUGGGGAGUUAGAAGGAAAAUUAAGCUUAGUAGGCCCUGGGAAAAUGCCCUGGGAAAGUAUAGGCCUUGUACUUGCUAGAACUGCACCUGUGUAGCUAGUAUAUGAUAAAUGGUAUAAUUGUUAGAUGUGAUGAUUGGAUAUAAUUACUGUUUAAUCGUAAGAAUAAUCAUGAGAAACUGUGGUCAGGGGCUUGAGAAAGAUCAUGAGAAACUCAUGCUUGAAUAAAGUCAAUGUAUACAAUAGAACAAUAUAAGUUUAAUAAUUAGUAUGUAAGUUAUAUAACAAGAGAAUAUAAAAUACAUUCAGCUCGAAAGCCAUGUCGGAGUCAGAUUUGCGUCUGUACACCUGAUUCCCAGAGCUCUACAAUAAAAGCACCUGCAUAGAAUCAUA